rnacentral:rRNA from 1 species
UGGGGAAUUUUCCGCAAUGGGCGAAAGCCUGACGGAGCAAUACCGCGUGAGGGAGGAAGGCUCUUGGGUUGUAAACCUCUUUUCUCAGGGAAGAAAAAAAUGACGGUACCUGAGGAAUAAGCAUCGGCUAACUCCGUGCCAGCAGCCGCGGUAAUACGGAGGAUGCAAGCGUUAUCCGGAAUGAUUGGGCGUAAAGGGUCCGCAGGUGGCAUUGUAAGUCUGCUGUUAAAGAGUCACGCUCAACGUGAU